rnacentral:lncRNA from 1 species
GAGGAUAUAUAAUGUUACGGUGACUUUUCUGAAUUUUAUUUCACUGACCAGUUAUAUAUAUGUAAUAUAUAGAACUCUUUAUUGGCUGAAGAACACUUGAUAUCACAUACUUCAUUUUCACGUACUUCACCAGUCCAUGUUCACUAUUACUCAUUUUGUAUUGAUUUCUCAAUUGUAGUCAAGUAAAGGAGAAUUGGCUGCACUUCUGCAUCAGCUCCAGGAAAAGGACAAGUUGCUUGCUGCUAUAAAAGAAGAUGCUGCUGCUACAAAGGAUCGGUGUAAGCAGUUAACCCAGGAAAUGAUGACAGAGAAAGAAAGAAGCAACGUAGUUAUAGCAAGGAUGAAAGAUCGGAUUGGAACAUUAGAAAAGGAACAUAAUGUAUUUCAGAACAAAAUGCAUGUCAGUUAUCAAGAGACUCAACAGAUGCAGAUGAAGUUUCAGCAAGUUCGUGAGCAGAUGGAAGCAGAGAUAGCACACUUGAAGCAGGAAAAUGGUAUACUGAGAGAUGCUGUCAGCAACACUACAAACCAACUGGAAAGCAAGCAGUCUGCAGAACUCAAUAAACUGCGCCAGGAUUAUGCUAGGUUGGUGAAUGAGCUGGCUGAGAAGACAGGAAAGCUACAGCAAGAGGAAGUCCAAAAAAAGAAUGCAGAGCAAGCAGUUACUCAGUUGAAGGUUCAACUACAAGAAGCUGAGAGAAGGUGGGAAGAAGUUCAAAGCUACAUCAGGAAGAGAACAGCAGAACAUGAGGCAGCCCAGCAAGAUUUACAGAGUAAAUUUGUGGCCAAAGAAAAUGAAGUACAGAGUCUGCAUAGUAAGCUUACAGAUACGUUGGUAUCAAAACAACAGUUGGAGCAAAGACUAAUGCAGUUAAUGGAAUCAGAACAAAAAAGGGUAAACAAAGAAGAGUCUCUACAAAUGCAAGUUCAGGAUAUUUUGGAGCAGAAUGAGGCUUUGAAAGCUCAAAUUCAACAGUUCCAUUCCCAGAUGGCAGCCCAGGUAAUGAUGUAUUAUUUUUGCUUAUGGCUUUCUUGUGGCUUCCUACCCAUUUUAGCAAUCAUCUGAGCA